CCAAACAUCCUGUGUCCUACUUGAGAUACACAGACCAUGUUAGAACUCCAAGACGAUGCACUUACUGAAACCAUCAUCCAUCCCCUCUUAAGUGAGUCAGGUAAUGUAUGUCAGGUAACUCACUUGUCCAAAACAAAGUAGAGGUCAAAGCCCCCAAAGCAUGAGGACGACCCAGCCUGCCUCCUGUCCUGGUUCGGUCCAGCGUUACCAGCAGUGAGAACAACCAGCGCAGCACCAAACACCACUGGAAGCCAGGAGCUUCUACUCCAGCACGAAGGCAUUAUUCCAGCUGCAGAAAAUCUCAUGACUUCAAUACAGAAAAAGUUGCAAAAGGAAGAGAGUGAUGAAGACAGUACAGUGGAAACACCAGAAUCUGCUUGCUUGUCCUGCCGCCUGGUGGUGAUAAGGGGCUGGUGGCUGCCUUUAAACCACCAGACCAUUAUUAGUGAUGCACCGAUCUGACUUUUUCAGUGCUGAUACCGAUAGCGAUACCUGGGCUUUGGGUAUCGGCCGAUACCGAGUACCGAUCCGAUACCAGUGUUUAAUUAAUAAGCUGUAAGCCUCACUGUG